AGAAUAUUCAAAUUAAGAGUCCGUUUCAAUCCACAGUGUCCUCUUAUUCUUUUCUGAUGCAAUUUCAAUAGCUCUUAGAACCCUAAAAUAUCUACAAUAUAAGGUGUAACUCCACCUAAGCUUGCAAGAACGCAAUAAAUGAGAGUUGCCUCAUUGUUUCUGAAAAUCCAUCCACAAUAUGAUGAUGUACCUGUUGAAGCUCAAUCAAGUAUUGCAUUGCACCUCUUUGGAGGGUGAGUGUUAACAUUAAAAUUCUUUCAAAUAAUGAAACUUCUGAUUGAUGAAUCGUUUGAUCAUUCCGUUUUCCUUUCCUCUCAUCGGAGUCAUAUACUCCGGGGGCCCAAACCCCCCCAUCAACACGCACAAUGACGCCCGGUUUAGGUAUGUUCAUUAUGAUCUGCCACAUACACAUUGGUAGGCCAUUUAAAUAUUGUAUAUAGAUGGAACCAUACAUACAUGUGCACACACGCGGACACAAAUUAUAUUGACUUAGCGACGCUAUUUAGUACAAAAUACUCUUAAUAAAAAACAAUGGCAUUACAAUCAUCCUAGAGUACAAAACCAAAGCUAUAUGGUUCGUGAAAAUAGAAAAUGUAAAAAAUACAAAUAGUAAUUGUAUUAGAACCCAAUAAUUUGUAUUUUUUACAUUUUCUAGUAGAAUGUUACGAGCACAACACUCAAGAACAUUUACAGAUACCUAGCCUAGAUCCACGAUACAUAAUACGAUUACCAUAGAAGAUACACCAAGGUUGUUGAGGAUGUGUGCACAUAUGCCUUGGACAAUCAAGAUUAGAAGUACAACAACCAAAAGGAAGUUUUGGGAGCAAUCCGCUUACUGUCAUUGUUGAAUAAAUGAUGUUAGAAAAAUGAGAUAAAACAUUUUGUAGAAUGUACCUAAUUAGAAAACUUUUGAAGGAUAAAAAGUGGCUUACUUGCAUGGUUUGCAACAACAAAUGGAGAGAUAAAGAUAAUCAUAAAAUAAACAAACUUUACAAUUUUACCCAUACUUUCUCCCCUUUGCAUAUAUGAGAUAUGGUUUUAUCACUUUAUGAUUUAUAAAACCUACUCUCACCUUAAAUACAUUAAAUUUCUUAAGAGCACGAUCUCAUUCUCAUUCAUCAUUAGCACAAAUAAUAAAGUGGUGAUAUAAAACAUUAUAAUUAAACCUCUCUUGAGUACAUAAAAGUAUUGUGUUUGUCUUUCUAUCACGCUUAUUAACGAGGUCAAAUAAAGGAAUUCAAUCUUAUUUUACAAAGUUUUUUUUUUAUUCUAUAGCCUUUCAUGACAGAAAAGGGAAUUCACAAAAAAGGAAAUUUUUGUUGGAUUUCAUG
rnacentral:lncRNA from 1 species